rnacentral:rRNA from 1 species
GUACCUUACUACUUGGAUAACCGUGGUAAUUCUAGAGCUAAUACAUGCUAAAAACCCCGACUCCGGAAGGGGUGUAUUUAUUAGAUAAAAAGCCAACGCCCUCCGGGGCUCCCUGGUGAUUCAUAAUAACUCAACGAAUCGCAUGGCCUUGCGCCGGCGAUGGUUCAUUCAAAUUUCUGCCCUAUCAACUUUCGAUGGUAGGAUAGUGGCCUACCAUGGUAUCAACGGGUAACGGGGAAUUAGGGUUCUAUUCCGGAGAGGGAGCCUGAGAAACGGCUACCACAUCCAAGGAAGGCAGCAGGCGCGCAAAUUACCCAAUCCCGACGCGGGGAGGUAGUGACAAUAAAUACUGAUACAGGGCCCUUACGGGUCUUGUAAUUGGAAUGAGUACAAUUUAAAUCCCUUAACGAGGAACAAUUGGAGGGCAAGUCUGGUGCCAGCAGCCGCGGUAAUUCCAGCUCCAAUAGCGUAUAUUAAAGUUGUUGCAGUUAAAAAGCUCGUAGUUGAACCUUGGGCCUGGCUGGCCGGUCCGCCUCACCGCGUGCACUGGUCCGGCCGGGCCUUUCCUUCUGGGGAUCCGCAUGCCCUUCGCUGGGCGUGUCGGGGAGCCAGGACUUUUACUUUGAAAAAAUUAGAGUGUUCAAAGCAGGCAUAUGCUCGAAUACAUUAGCAUGGAAUAAUGGAAUAGGACGUGCGGCCCUAUUUUGUUGGUUUCCAGGACCGCCGUAAUGAUUAAUAGGGAUGGUCGGGGGCAUCAGUAUUCAAUUGUCAGAGGUGAAAUUCUUGGAUUUAUUGAAGACUAACUACUGCGAAAGCAUUUGCCAAGGAUGUUUUCAUUAAUCAGUGAACGAAAGUUAGGGGAUCGAAGACGAUCAGAUACCGUCGUAGUCUUAACCAUAAACUAUGCCGACUA